CAAGGAUUCCCCUAGUAGCGGCGAGCGAAGCGGGAAAAGCUCAAAUUUGUAAUCUGGCGUCUUCGACGUCCGAGUUGUAAUCUCGAGAAGUGUUUUCCGUGAUAGACCGCAUACAAGUCUCUUGGAACAGAGCGUCAUAGUGGUGAGAACCCAGUACACGAUGCGGAUGCCUAUUACUUUGUGAUACACUUUCGAAGAGUCGAGUUGUUUGGGAAUGCAGCUCAAAUUGGGUGGUAAAUUCCAUCUAAAGCUAAAUAUUGGCGAGAGACCGAUAGCGAACAAGUACCGUGAGGGAAAGAUGAAAAGCACUUUGGAAAGAGAGUUAACAGUACGUGAAAUUGUUGGAAGGGAAACACAUGCAGUGAUACUUGCUAUUCGGGGCAACUCGAUUGGCAGGCCCGCAUCAGUUUUUCGGGGCGGAAAAGCGUAGAGAGAAGGUAGCAGUUUCGGCUGUGUUAUAGCUCUUUACUGGAUUCGCCCUGGGGGACUGAGGAACGCAGCGUGCUUUUUGCAUGAGCUUCGGCUUAUCCACGCUUAGGAUGCGGGUUUAUGGCUGUAUAUGACCCGUCUUGAAACACGGACCAAGGAGUCUAACAUGCUUGCGAGUAUUUGGGUGUCAAACCCGGAUGCGCAAUGAAAGUGAAUGGAGGUGGGAAGCGCAAGCUGCACCAUCGACCGAUCUGGAUUUUUUAAGAUGGAUUUGAGUAAGAGCAAGUAUGUUGGGACCCGAAAGAUGGUGAACUAUGCCUGAAUAGGGCGAAGCCAGAGGAAACUCUGGUGGAGGCUCGUAGCGGUUCUGACGUGCAAAUCGAUCGUCAAAUUUGGGUAUAGGGGCGAAAGACUAAUCGAACCAUUUAGAAGCUGGUUCCUGCCGA
rnacentral:rRNA from 1 species